rnacentral:rRNA from 2 species
UACGUAGGUGGCAAGCGUUGUCCGGAUUUAUUGGGCGUAAAGCGAGCGCAGGCGGUUUUGUAAGUCUGCUGUGAAAGCCCUCAGCUCAACUGAGGAAGUGCAGUGGAAACUACAAAACUUGAGUACAGAAGAGGAAAGUGGAACUCCAUGUGUAGCGGUGAAAUGCGUAGAUAUAUGGAAGAACACCAGUGGCGAAGGCGGCUUUCUGGUCUGUUACUGACGCUGAGGCUCGAAAGCAUGGGUAGCGAACAGG